UACAGAGGGUGCGAGCGUUGUCCGGAAUCACUGGGCGUAAAGGGCGCGUAGGCGGCCCGGUAAGGUUGCGGUGAAAGCCCGGGGCUCAACCCCGGGUCGGCCGUGGCAACUGCUGGGCUGGAGCACAGUAGAGGCGGGUGGAAUUCCGGGUGUAGCGGUGGAAUGCGUAGAGAUCCGGAAGAACACCGGUGGCGAAGGCGGCCCGCUGGGCUGUUACUGACGCUGAGGAGCGAAAGCGUGGGGAGCGAACAGG
rnacentral:rRNA from 1 species